UGGGGAAUUUUGGACAAUGGACGCAAGUCUGAUCCAGCCAUGCCGCGUGCGGGAAGAAGGCCUUCGGGUUGUAAACCGCUUUUGUCAGGGAAGAAACGAGUUUCUCUAAUACAGAGACUUAAUGACGGUACCUGAAGAAUAAGCACCGGCUAACUACGUGCCAGCAGCCGCGGUAAUACGUAGGGUGCAAGCGUUAAUCGGAAUUACUGGGCGUAAAGCGUGCGCAGGCGGUUAUGUAAGACAGAUGUGAAAUCCCCGGGCUCAACCUGGGAACUGCCUUUGUGACUGCAUAGCUAGAGUACGGUAGAGGGGGAUGGAAUUCCGCGUGUAGCAGUGAAAUGCGUAGAUAUGCGGAGGAACACCGAUGGCGAAGGCAAUCCCCUGGACCUGUACUGACGCUCAUGCACGAAAGCGAGGGGAGCAAACA
rnacentral:rRNA from 1 species